rnacentral:rRNA from 1 species
CUAAUCUUCCCGUGAAGAGGCGGGGAUAAACCCAUAAGACGAGAAGACCCCAUGGAGCUUUAAACUAAGCUACAAUCCAACUCCCGUAUAUCCGCUCAUCAAAUAGGAUUCUGUAUGCCCAGUUUUAGGUUGGGGUGACCACGGAUAUAAACUAACCUCCAUGAUAAACGAAACUUUUCUUAUCUAAGAAUUACAAUUCCAAGAAUUAGUAUACUAAUAUUAAAUGAUCCGAUAAUCGAUCAACGGACCAAGUUACCCUGGGGAUAACAGCGCAAUCCAUUUCAAGAGCCCUUAUCGACAAAUGGG